rnacentral:rRNA from 1 species
CGAAACCGGGUGACCUAUCCAUGAGCAGGUUGAAGUAACCGUAAAAGGUUAUGGAGGACCGAACCUAUAUCUGUUGAAAAAGGUUAGGAUGACUUGUGGAUAGCGGUGAAAUUCCAAUCGAACUCGGAUAUAGCUGGUUCUCCUCGAAAUAGCUUUAGGGCUAGCCUCAAGGAAAGAUAUGCGGGGGUAGAGCACUGACUGUUCGCGGGGCCUUCACCGGUUACCAACAACUAUCAAACUCCGAAUACCGUUAUAUUAUACUUGGGAGUCAGACUAUGAGAGAUAAGUUCCAUGGUCGAAAGGGAAACAGCCCAGAUCAACAGCUAAGGUCCCAAAGAGUAAGUUAAGUGGAAAAGGAUGUGGGAUUGCACAAACAGCUAGGAUGUUGGCUUAGAAGCAGCCAUUCAUUUAAAGAGUGCGUAAUAGCUCACUAGUCGAGUGAUCCUGCGCCGAAGAUAAACGGGGCUAAAACUUACCACCGAAGCUUUGGAAUUGCUUAGGCAAUUGGUAGAGGAGCGUUCUGUACGGGCAGAAGGGAAGUCGUAAGGCGACCUGGACUGUAUAGAAGAGAGAAUGUUGGCAUGAGUAGCGUAAGGCGGGUGAGAAUCCCGUCCGCCGAAAAUCUAAGGUUUCCUGAGGAAGGUUCGUCCUCUCAGGGUAAGUCGGGACCUAAGCCGAGAGCGAGAGUUGUAGGCGAUGGACAACAGGUUAAUAUUCCUGUACUACCGAUGAUUGUAUGAGUGAAGUGGGGACGCAGAAGGAUAAGUUGAGCACGCCGUUGGUUGAGCGUGUCCAAGCAGUGAGGUUUGAAUGUAGGCAAAUCCGCAUUCUAUAAGAUUGAGCUGUGAUGGGGUGACGAAAGUCAAUAAGCAACUGAUUUCACGCUGCCGAGAAAAGCCACUAGCGAGAUCAAAGGUACCCGUACCGCAAACCGACACAGGUAGAUGAGGAGAGAAUCCUAAGGUGAGCGAGCGAACUAUUGUUAAGGAACUCGGCAAAAUAACCCCGUAACUUCGGGAGAAGGGGUGCCCACAAAUGUGGGCCGCAGUGAAGAGGUCCAGGCAACUGUUUACCAAAAACACAGGUCUCUGCUAAAUCGAAAGAUGAAGUAUAGGGGCUGACGCCUGCCCGGUGCUGGAAGGUUAAGGGGAAGUGUUAGAGCAAUCGAAGCACCGAACUUAAGCCCCAGUAAACGGCGGCCGUAACUAUAACGGUCCUAAGGUAGCGAAAUUCCUUGUCGGGUAAGUUCCGACCCGCACGAAAGGCGUAAUGAUCUGGACACUGUCUCAACAAUAGGCUCGGUGAAAUUGUAGUACCGGUAAAGAUGCCGGUUACCCGCAGCAGGACGGAAAGACCCCGUGGAGCUUCACUGUAGCUUGAUAUUGAGUUUCGGCGUUGCAUGUACAGGAUAGGUGGGAGACUAUGAGACGGGUACGCCAGUAUCCGUGGAGUCACCGUUGGGAUACCACCCUUGUAACGUUGGAAUUCUAACCGAGUAUCGUAAUCCGGUACCGGGACAGUGUCAGGUGGGCAGUUUGACUGGGGCGGUCGCCUCCUAAAGAGUAACGGAGGCGCCCAAAGGUUCCCUCAGCGCGGACGGAAAUCGCGCGAAGAGUGCAAAGGCAAAAGGGAGCUUGACUGCGAGACAUACAGGUCGAGCAGGGACGAAA